GAUGAACGCUGGCGGCGUGCCUAAUACAUGCAAGUCGAGCGAUGAGGCUCCUUUGGGAGUACAUCAGCGGAGAACGGGUGAGUAACACGUGGGUGACUUGCCCCGAACAUGGGGAUAACCUCUGGAAACUGGGGCUAAUACCCAAUGUGCUCUGUGAUUCCGUUCAUCGAGUAUAGCUCCCGCGCUUCUGAAGAGGCCUGCGGCCCUUCAGCUAGGUGGUAUGGUAACGGCCUACUGACGUAUAGACCGGUAGGGGGCGUGAGAGCGCGGACCCCCACCCUGGGGCUGAGAUACCGGCCAGACUCCUCCCCCAUGCAGCAAUAAGGGAUAUUGCGCAAUGCACGAAAGUCAGACCCAUCGACGCCUCGUGGGCGAUGAAGGCCUUCGGAUUGUAAAGCCCUUUUAUGGGGGAAAAGAAAAAGGACGGUACCCCUGGAAUAACUCCCGCCUAACUACGUGCCAUCAACCGCGGUAAAACGUAAGGGACAAGCGUUAUCCGGAUUCACUGGUCGGAAAGAGCGUUCACGCUGUUCCGUAAGAUGCGAGUGAAACCUCCGGUCUUGACUCCUAGAUGUCGUUCAAUACUGUUGGGCUUGAGCACAGCAAAGGACAGUGCAAUUCCCUGUGUAUUGGUGCUAUGCGUCCAUAUCGUGUAGGAACACCCGUGG
rnacentral:rRNA from 1 species